rnacentral:rRNA from 1 species
UACGUAGGGUGCAAGCGUUAAUCGGAAUUACUGGGCGUAAAGCGUGCGCAGGCGGUUUUGUAAGUCUGACGUGAAAUCCCCGGGCUAAACCUGGGAAUUGCGUUGGAGACUGCAAGGCUAGAAUCUGGCAGAGGGGGGUAGAAUUCCACGUGUAGCAGUGAAAUGCGUAGAGAUGUGGAGGAACACUGAUGGCGAAGGCAGCCCCCUGGGUCAAGAUUGACGCUCAUGCACGAAAGCGUGGGGAGCAAACAGG